rnacentral:rRNA from 1 species
GGAUUAGAUACCCUGGUAGUCCACGCAGUAAACGAUGAGUGCUAGAUGUUGGGGAUCUCUCCUCAGUGUCGAAGCUAACGCGUUAAGCACUCCGCCUGGGAACUACGAUCGCAAGAUUAAAACUCAAAGGAAUUGACGGGGACCCGCACAAGCGGUGGAACAUGUGGUUUAAUUCGAUGCUACGCGAAGAACCUUACCAAGCUUUGACAUGUUUGUCGUACGGCUAGGAAACUAGCUGGUCAGUUAGGCUGGACUUUCACAGGUGCUGCAUGGCUGUCGUCAGCUCGUGCCG